rnacentral:rRNA from 1 species
GACGAACGCUGGCGGCGUGCUUAACACAUGCAAGUCGAACGAAGUGGCGAACGGGUGAGUAACGCGUAAUCAACCUGCCCUUCAGAGGGGGAUAACAGUUGGAAACGACUGCUAAUACCGCAUACUGAAGGAGGGGAUUGCGUCUGAUUCGGUAGUUGGAGGGGUAACGGCCCACCAAGGCGAUGAUCAGUAGGCGGGCUGGGAGGAUGAACGGGCACAAUGGGACUGAGAAACGGCCCAGACUCCUACGGGAGGGAGCAGGGGGGAAUCUUCCGCAAUGGAGGAAAGUCUGACGGAGCAACGCCGCGUGAGUGAUGACGGCCUUCGGGUUGGAAAGCUCUGUUAAUCGGGGCGCGGUACCGGAAUAGAAAGCCACGGCUAACUACGUGCCAGCAGCCGCGGUAAUUC